UUCGGCCAAUCCCUGCAGAAAUCCUUGCGUUUGUUUAGCCAAGCCGCAUGAGAUUGUACAUCAUUUAUUUUGGGUGGGGAGAACAGAUAUACGGACAUGGCGAAGAGAGUUUGAUUUACCAUAAAGUGUUUUUUUUUGGGGGGGGGGGGGGGGGGAGUGGUGGUGGUGGAGAGGAAAUCAGGCUGAGGGCUAUCUCACUAAGGCCGGGCGGUGGCGCUUCCUGUCUCCUCAUUCCGACCACGUGGACCUGUCAGUUUUCAGCGCUCUCUCGACAAGCUGCAACAUCUCAUUCAGGAAACUGACACGAUCGAGAACCCGUCUACCGAACUUCCCAUUCUCCGCCAGGCCUAGAAUCCGGGCCCCCGUUAAACAAAUGGUUUUUAAAGAAAAUAAUCGGCGAAUGUUUAUUUUCGUCUGUAACCAAAAGCGUUGGACUAACUAGCCAGUUCAAACAGACAAAUCUCAAAUGCACCGACCAAGAAAAAAGAUCACAAAAAUAAAAACGACUCAUAAUGAGGAAGUUAAAGGCGACACGACAAAACGGAAAAUGCUACAUGCAUCCGAAUCCAAUCAAAUAUUACACGAUUACGACUUCUCACGUAAAAAAAGUAUAAAGUUCGCAAAAAAUCAUUUUAAAUUUAAAAAAAACAACGCAUUUUCAGCAGCUGCUUCUCAGCCGAACCAAGAAGCGAGAAACUCCAAAGAACGCCACGAAAUCCCCUGAUGUUGCUAUGGUAACGUGCCGCCGCCUGGAACCCCUCCCCUGCCAGCAGCAGAUGGCCCCAGCCUCGCCGCUUUGUGUAUGUCUGUCUGUAUCCCACAGUAAGGCAGUACAGUACCUUCACAGAGAAAAAGGGGACGGAGUCUCUCGGCCGACGCAAAAAUAAAUUCGCGUAUCAGUAAUUGAAAACGCAUGAAAUCGGCGAUCCCUCCAAUUGACAUCGUUUGCGUAAAAAGUUUGAGAAAUUGAGAAGGUCCAUGCAGCUGAGUUACUUGCUCUUGUGAAUAGGCACAACUAGCCUCACUGAACAAAUUAUCAAAUGUUUGUUGGUAUCAUCACUAAAUGAGUCACUUGAUUGCAGUAACUUUUUUGAGUAGCAUAUGCAUUCUUCAAAGAGGUCACAUGUCUGCAGUGAAAUUCAGACCAAGAUUAUCACUAAUUGGACAAGUUUGUUCUGGAGUUAGCGACCUGGAUCAUACCUGCACUGCUUUCAGCUCAUGCUACUCAGGUAUUUGAUUGUUGAUAUGCAGUACAGGAGUAUGGAAUCAUGCAUCACCAGUUUGGACAAUGAAGAGGCCUUUGACAAAAUACCCAGAGACACAGACAAUGGGUGUGCUCUUCAAAAUAGGUUUUGGGGAAGGAAUCUAUAGUUGAUUUGAAUUGUUCUACAUAAAGAUCAGUAGUGCAGUUUCAGUCCGAGAAAGGAAUCAGAAGAUUUCCUUUCAAAUUUAGAAUCAAGCAGGGCUGCCCUCUCUUGUCUGCUUUGUUUGUGUGGUGUUUUGUUUUUGCUGAGUGUAAGAGGGUUGAUAAACUCAAGACCAGAGCUGUGAAGGUCAAAGGCCCCUGUGCAUAGAUGGUAUCAACAUCUUGACUCUGUUGUAAGUUCACAGAGUAAACCUUGGCAAAAGUGCAGCUGUGUUCUUUGGGAACUAGCCUGAAUGAUCUUCUGCCCCAUUCACUGUUAUAUCAGAUUAUUUGAAGGUGCUGGGACGUGCUCAGGUCAGUUAGACCAUAUGCAUGUGUACCACCUAUCCCUUCUGAAAAUGUUUCUGUAGAAAAGUCAUCUUUGAUCAGAGUCCAUCAGGCUGUGGUCAGUGUGUAACAUCUGAGGCCCUGUAGGAGGAAGAUAGAAUAGAUCCUAAUGUUGAGCAAACUGUUGACAUACUUUUGCUGAAGGCUUAAGUGUCAGAACUAUUAAGCUAACUCCAAGGUGUAGCUUUGCUCGUGGUGAGAAUUCCUCCACAUGCUGAGUGAGGUGGUGAAGGGAUAGCCAAGCACCUUUGCUUUUCAAAAACACAUUCCUUAAAAAUAGAUCUGGAAAAAGGUUAAAUGUUUUUUGCCAAGAUUCAUCUUGAGCAGCUCCAUAAUGUAGAAUUCUGUGCACUACAGGCUGUUUCCAGAAAUGUGUAAAGUUCAACAUCAGCAGCUGGAGGGCCAUCAUCACAGUAAAAGAUACAUUUUUGUCUGCCUAAAACCUUCAGGUUGACCCAUGCAAAGAGCAAUCAACAAUCUAGUAUUACAGUCUGGCAGUUUCCGAGUUCCUGCGCUGUGUGUUGAGAGAAGUACCAGAACUUGGCCCACCUGCUGCAGAAACACAAUGGGGAAACACCAGGAGCUGGAAACUAUGUAAAAACCUUUUGGGUUGUAUAGUUGACGUGAAACGAAUAUAAACUGUAUCCACAUGUGUAGAAAUGCAUCUCAGUAUGUCACACGCUGUAUUGAAAGAAACUGAUCUAUUUUGCACUUUAAGUAAAGACAAUGUUGAACUAU